CCUACGGGAGGCAGCAGUGGGGAAUAUUGCACAAUGGGCGAAAGCCUGAUGCAGCGACGCCGCGUGAGGGAUGACGGCCUUCGGGUUGUAAACCUCCUUCAGCAGGGAAGAAGCGAAAGUGACGGUACCUGCAGAAGAAGCGCCGGCUAACUACGUGCCAGCAGCCGCGGUAAUACGUAGGGCGCAAGCGUUGUCCGGAAUUAUUGGGCGUAAAGAGCUCGUAGGCGGCUUGUCACGUCGGUUGUGAAAGCCCGGGGCUUAACCCCGGGUCUGCAGUCGAUACGGGCAGGCUAGAGUGUGGUAGGGGAGAUCGGAAUUCCUGGUGUAGCGGUGAAAUGCGCAGAUAUCAGGAGGAACACCGGUGGCGAAGGCGGAUCUCUGGGCCAUUACUGACGCUGAGGAGCGAAAGCGUGGGGAGCGAACAGGAUUAGAUACCCUGGUAGUCCACGCCGUAAACGGUGGGAACUAGGUGUUGGCGACAUUCCACGUCGUCGGUGCCGCAGCUAACGCAUUAAGUUCCCCGCCUGGGGAGUACGGCCGCAAGGCUAAAACUCAAAUGAAAUU
rnacentral:rRNA from 1 species